CAAAGUAGGAGAUGAUUAGAAAAUGUCAUUCAUGUGUUAGAAUGGCCCAGUCAAAGAUUCAGAUCUUUAUUCAAGUCAAGUUUGUUUGUAUUGUACAUUUGAGCUGCAACAAGGCAAUUCAAAAUGCUCCGCAGCAUAAAAACGCCAAAAUAAAACGUCAUAAAAACAUCUAGUCGCCAAUUGAGAAACCAGUGACAAAUGUUUUUUCAAGUGCCAGCAUCAAAAUCAGCAGUACAUGUUCAUGUCCCAAUGGGCAAUUAAUUUUACAGCAUAAAAACACAAGACUAACAAUUAAUAUUUAACUAGCAAGUGUGGCACUUUAUUCCUCUGCCUCUACCACCGGAAGUCAUAGAAACAUAAAAUUUGUUAAUCAUGUGCAAACAAAGUCCAGAAAAGUCUUUAAAAAUGACGUUCAGAGACAAUCUGUCAGAACUUUAGCUACAAAAAUAUUAGUCUCUACAUGAUUACACCUUUAGAGACAUACCCAAACAUUUCAGCUGCUAUUCCUAUGAACGCAGUUUGCCAAGACAAAGAAGAAAAAAGUACACUUUUUCCUUUCUGUUUCAAUUAUGCUCACUUUGCCUUGACCCAUCAUCCGAAAUCCAUUGACGUUUGUGGUCCUUACUUAAGAAAAUUUUUGGAAAAAAAAAAAAAAAAAGCAUUAAGGGGGUGUAAAUAGUUUUGUAAGACUGGGCGGGCGCACAGUUACACCGGUCUUUGCUAAUUACCGCCAAAGUGCGUUCUGAGCCGGGCCUCCAAAUUACACGGCUCCACCACAACAAGGGCGCCUUGCCCAGCAGUCAUUUGUCAGACUAAUUAUUUGUCUUGGGCUCGUAAUUGCUGUGAGAACAGGUAGUCAGGUAAUUGUGUGGUAAGCUGCAAAGUUAAGUGAUGGUUUCUCUCCAUUUCCAGACGAGAUGAAAGGAGUAGGGACUGCUGAGGUGAAAUGCGACGCACCCCCCCAAUCUCCACCCACCCAGUCAGAUACAGGGUCUAAAAAUAUACGGCAUCCAUGAUUCUCAGCUCAGCGAGAGGAAGAGAACGGCGCCUUGACGUUAAGAUCAUGUGCGUGGCACUUUCCAUUAGGCUGGCUACUUCCUGGAUUUAUGUAAAUAAUUGUGUCCCCUGGUGAAUGCCUGAAUAAUAAGCCCAUUAAUCACAAUCCAGAGUGAGUGAAGGCAUGAUACUAUGGAUCUCCAAAGCAGAGCAGUUCAAAUCCGUCUCGUAUCUCCGAGCCGUAUCGCUGCUGAGGUAAUUCAAAGGAGCGUGUCCCCACUUUCCCGCCGCCGUUUUGCAUGUGCGCGGCAAACGCAUACACACACACACACACACACACACACACACACACACUGGACCGCUGUCAUUGGCGAUGAUGUGUGGCUCAGUAACACUGUCACCUAUCAUCACGAUUACUGCAGAGCCCUGUGCCGCUCGUGGUUUUUAAAUGCGCAUCCCAUGAUUCCUCGCAGAGGUUUCGCGGGGCCAGCCGGACACGAUGUCAGGUUGAAUAUUAUAAUGAGCAAAUAAAUAAAUAAACAAAUAACUCAACGAGAAGCAUAAACAGUAGAGUUUUUGGCAUUUGCCCCGAGUCCAAACCGCGGCCCUCCCCGCCGUCGGUGAGACUUGUCUGAUCUGGACAACGGUCACCGGAUUUCCGCUGAGCCGCUUUCCUGACGAGCAAAUCAGUCUCGCCACGCGGCCCGUCUUGUAGUGCGCAGCAUCGCCCAGGGGCCUCCCCGUUCUUUUGUGUCAGGGGAACACACGGGCUCUUGAAAGGGGAUCCAUAACGAUCAGCGACAGCCGGGGCCGAGCGCGGCCAGGCCUCAUGCGGAAAAGGCCACUUCUACAUGAAAGGGUAGAGGCACAACAGAGCCCUCCGUGUCCUCUUACCUUUCCUCUAAUGCGCUCCACAGCACGGUCACGUUUUCUUCAUGCACGUUGGGGCAAAUAAUGUCAGCUCCCUCAUUAAAGGGAUGGUCUGGAUGUUUUUGAAAUGAGGCUUUGUGACGUUAUCAGUAGUAGUUCUUUUAUCCGUUCUGUAAAUAUGCUGUGUUGUCAUGAGUUCGUGGAGAAAUCCUCACUGUGGUGUCAGGCUAAUUAAUGGCUGGUGAGACGCAGGCCUCAGUUUUAACUGAUUUUGCCCAUUGGAAACGUUAACUGAAUGUGUUCAUAUGGUGGGAUACAAACUUUCUGUUCAAAAGUCAAAGUUUUGAGAUAGAGUCAAAAGUUUGGAGGGAUGAACAAAUUCUUAAAUUAGUUUCGAAAAUACAAAAGGCUCUUUAUUAUAAAAAUUGUUUUUUUGGGGGCCCUUAACCAUUCUAAUUUAUGAUUAUAAAGCGUAAUUAGCACUGUUACAGUUAGCAGAAAUUCAAUUUAAUUAACUUCAUUACUUUUAAUGCCUUAACAAACAAGGCCAGAUACACUACACCAGAUAUCAGGAUAAGAAUAUAUUUUCCCCUUUUUUUUUUUGAAAGUAUAAACUGCGCAUUGGUUUUAGAAAAAAAAAAAAAAAAAAAAAACGCCACCAUAUGCAGUGCCAGCAGGGCUCGAUUUCAUUUACAUUAACUACAACAGAUCUCAAAAUAAGCAGAUUGUGAGUACAGUUGGUAUUCAGAGACCAUAGCAAAAUCCACAAAUACUUGAGACCCUUUCUAAAAACACUUAGACUUCCUAUUUUAGUUGUUCAGACACCAAAUACAUACCUUAGUAUGCAUUAAUAUGUAUUAUAGAAACUGUCUUAGCACUGACGCAGAAGCUAAUAUCUGCAGUCUAACUUAGCUCUACUGUUGGGGGACAAAGGAGAUAAAUGGCAUUCUGGGAUCGGCAGCUUUGCUUUUGGCUAGCACUAUUAGCAUCAUGUCAGGUAGGACUGUAUCUACGCAUUUUAGCUUCCUAAGCUACAUUUUCUUUUGAAGAGUUUUGAUAUGCUAUAUGAAAAAUCCACAAAUAAUUUGUUGUUACAUUACACUACGUUUUGUUACGUUACUGUGAAUAGCCAUGGGUCCACUCUGUAGCUAAAGCAAUGCUAACCAAAACAUUCUCCCAGGACAUUUUCAGUUUGUGAAGCAUUUCAGCAUUUCCUCUCAGUCAAACACUUCUUCAGUUCGCUUUGAAGUUUUAUUGAAACAGGACAAGGUGUUCGCUGUGGUUUUGAUUUACAGAGCAGGCUGAAUAUCGUGCCUGGCACCAUCAUUUCCUGUCCGGUGCUUUUCCACACUUGCUGUGUGGUAUAAGAUAUGAAGUCUUUUUAAAUCAAAAGGUUCGAAUUGAAGUGAGAUAAUGAAUCACUGAUGUCCAAAGUCUUUUUUGAUUUCAUCAAGUCUAAAUUGUGACUCGAAUCUGACUUGAUUCUGUGUCACGUGACUUGAGUCCACAUCUCUGAAAGCUACUCCAGACGAGCUACAAGUUGCUGUUCGGUAUUCAGCUGUAGGUUUGCUAGCUCCGCAGGUAGCCUGACUUAAAAAAAAAAAAAUACUUAAUAUACUUCUGUUCACGCAUGUUUACUUAAAACCUAAAUUAAAUGGAGCUAUAUUCUAAAGUUUUCCUUUAGGCUAUUUCCCAGAGUCAAAAUUACAAUAAAUAAAUAGAUACUAUCUUAAUCAGCAAAAAUAUGACUGUAAUUAUCAAUUUGCCAAAAAUAUUUUAGAGGCAGUAGGAAUAAGUGUUGCUAUUCUGUUUUAAAUGAAACAGUAAACACAGUAACGGUGUGAUACCAGGAACCGAAUCACAGAGACACAAUCUCUGUCUUCCACAGGUAAGGGAACCAUAACUCUUAACUUCACCGAACCUCACUUGAAAAGAUCUAAGCCGUCCAUUUAAUAUCAACAGGCAUGCUGUCAAAUAAACAAAAUGUUCUCCUCUCCCAUGAACAGAAUGUGUUUGGGUGUCCGUCAGCAUUCAGACGCCACCUCUAGCUUCCACUCUGGGAUUAAGUGUUUUGCAGCUCAACACAGUCACCGUCUGUGUAAUGUGUGUGAUCAGUGUGUCUGCGGAGGAUAAGAAUAAGCAGUAGGCGUGUGGUUUUUUUUUUCCUCUCUCUCUCCAUCUUUAUUUCUCCAUUUCUCUCUCUCCUUCCCUUUUUCUUUCUCUCCUCACGGUGGAGACACCACGGUGCCAUCUGCUUUGCAUUUGUUUAACAAAGAUUUAUUGUGAAGCAAGACACUAAUCCAAAACACACACGCUCACACACAUAUCUCGCCUUCUUCUCGUCACAGGCCGCGAAGAGAGGAGAAAAAAAAAUAAGGAGAAGAAGAAGUAGUGAGGGAUGUGGGAUUGGAAACGCUUGGCGCUCUCUUUGUCAACUCUCACUCUGACGGGGAGGAGAGAGAACCGGCUGGCACACAGAGGUACAAUUGCUGCCUCAACAUGCUACGAAGCGGUUCACCAGUUAUCUGUGCUCAGCUCCUUGACCACAGAGUCAUCUUUGUAUUUCUGGAGAUGACUGCAGGCUGACUUGUGCUGGAAGUCUGAGAUGUACAGAGUGAAAAGAAAGGAAGGAGAGGACCUGUCCACUCCUAGCCGGAGAGAAAUGGGCCUCUCGGACAUUACCACCUCUUCCCAGGGGAGACAUAAAUGAGAUGGAAGCGAUAGGGGGAGACUGCAAGAAGAAGAAAGCGGGCCAGGACAGUCUAAACACAGAGGGAGGGAGGAAAGGAGCCAUUGAGUGGACUGUUGGGUAGUGGCAGUUCUUGAUUUGGGCUAUACUGGCUCAACGCCCAGGGCAACACAUUUGAAGAGGAAUGGAUGCCCCCACGGUUCUGCAACUGUAGAUUCUGUAAAAAAAUAUGGCAGACCUCCUCGGUUACCUAUUGGCUCUGAAGCUUAAAGGUGUUUUUUUUGUUUGUUUUUUUUUUUUUUUACAACUUUUUAGACAAUAUCUGAAAAUCUCCAAUUCAAAAUUGAAAUUAUUUGAACAGCUCAAAGCUGAACUGUAAAUUGAAAUGAGAUUACUUAAAGGGACAGUAUUUUUGUAAAAUGUAAUUUUUUGAGCUGUACAUCAUGUUCUAAUGGUACUCCCUCAUAGAUAACACCUUGAUUCUUUCAAGCAUCUUUGAGAAAUACUUUCAGUGGUAACUACUCAGCUAUGCAAAAUGUCUGGAUGAAAUUAGCUCCACUUUCAAGAUGAAGCUCCUACUUGAAGCUGCAGUUUCCAAGCUUCCGCCUCACAGAGCAGCGCUGCCCGGUGACUCACCCACUCAGCUCCUUUAGACU